AUACGGAGGAUCCGAGCGUUAUCCGGAUUUAUUGGGUUUAAAGGGUGCGCAGGCGGUCAUUUAAGUCAGCGGUUAAAUCGUGGGGCUCAACCCCAUUCUGCCGUUGAUACUGGGUGGCUUGAUUGCGGUCGAGGUUGGCGGAAUUCGUUGUGUAGCGGUGAAAUGCAUAGAUAUGACGAAGAACACCGAUUGCGUAGGCAGCUGACCAGACCGCAAAUGACGCUCAUGCACGAAAGUGCGGGGAUCGAACAGGAUUAGAUACCCUGGUAGUCCGCACAGUAAACGAUGAAUACUUGUUUUCGGCGAUAUAAUGUCGGAGGCAAAGCGAAAGCGAUAAGUAUUCCACCUGGGGAGUACGCCGGCAACGGUGAAACUUAAAGGAAUUGACGGGG
rnacentral:rRNA from 1 species